GUUAUAGUAGUUCAACAAGAACAAUGGUCUUGUAAACCAGAAAUGAGAUGAAAUGUCUCCUAAAACC
rnacentral:tRNA from 1 species